rnacentral:rRNA from 1 species
GAUGAACGCUGGCGGCGUGCCUAAUACAUGCAAGUCGAGCGAACAGAUAAGGAGCUUGCUCCUUUGACGUUAGCGGCGGACGGGUGAAUAACACGUGGGUAACCUACCUAUAAGACUGGGAUAACUUCGGGAAACCGGAGCUAAUACCGGAUAAUAUUUCGAACCGCAUGGUUCGAUAGUGAAAGAUGGUUUUGCUAUCACUUAUAGAUGGACCCGCGCCGUAUUAGCUAGUUGGUAAGGUAACGGCUUACCAAGGCGACGAUACGUAGCCGACCUGAGAGGGUGAUCGCCCACACUGGAACUGAGCCACGGUCCAGACUCCUACGGGAGGCAGCAGUAGGGAAUCUUCCGCAAUGGGCGAAAGCCUGACGGAGCAACGCCGCGUGAGUGAUGAAGGUCUUCGGAUCGUAAAACUCUGUUAUUAGGGAAGAACAUACGUGUAAGUAACUGUGCACGUCUUGACGGUACCUAAUCAGAAAGCCACGGCUAACUACGUG